AAUGAACCAUUAAACAACAAUAAAAUGAAGUAAUGAACCAUUAAACAGCAACCAGCAAGGCAGCAAGCAGGACAUUUCCAUUUUCCAAUAUAAUGAACCAUUAAACAACAAUAAAAUGAACCAUUAAACAGCAACGCAACAAGCAGGACAUUUCUAAUAUAUUGAACCAUUAAACAACAAUAAAAUGAACCAUUAAACAGCAAGCCACUGAGCCAGCAACAGCAAGUAGCAACAAAUCAACAAUGCAUUUGUCUGUAAGUAUUAACGUGGAAAAAA